CCUACGGGUGGCAGCAGUGGGGAAUAUUGGGCAAUGGGCGCAAGCCUGACCCAGCAACGCCGCGUGAAGGAAGAAGGCUUUCGGGUUGUAAACUUCUAUUAAGAGGGAAGAGCUGAAGACGGUACCUCUUGAAUAAGUCCCGGCUAACUACGUGCCAGCAGCCGCCGUACUACGUAGGUGGCAAGCGUUGUCCGGACUUACUGGGUGUAAAGGGCGUGUAGCCGGGGUGACAAGUCAGGUGUGAAAUCCCGUGGCUCAACCACGGAACUGCAGUUGAAACUGUCGGUUUGGAGUAUCGGAGAGGCAGGCGGAAUUGCUAGGGUAGCGGUGAAAUGCGGAGAUAUUAGGAGGAACACCAGUGGCGAAGGCGGCCUGCUGGACGACAACUGACGGUGAGGCGCGAAAGCGUGGGGAGCAAACAGGAUUAGAUACCCCUGUAGUC
rnacentral:rRNA from 1 species